rnacentral:rRNA from 1 species
UACAGAGGUCCCAAGCGUUGUUCGGAUUCACUGGGCGUAAAGGGUGCGUAGGUGGUCGGAUAAGUCUGAUGUGAAAUCUCCGAGCUCAACUCGGAAAUGGCAUUGGAUACUAUUCGGCUGGAGGGUUGGAGGGGGGACUGGAAUACUUGGUGUAGCAGUGAAAUGCGUAGAUAUCAAGUGGAACACCAGUGGCGAAGGCGGGUCUCUGGGCCGAAAUUGACGCUGAGGAGCGAAAGCGUGGGGAGCAAACAGG